rnacentral:ncRNA from 1 species
UAUGAGUUUGAUUCUUGCUUUGAGUGCUUGCUUUUCAGUUAAUAACAUAUGAAAAUUUUUAGUGUUCCAGGGUGAGUAGGGUUAAAAAUCCUGUGCUUGGAUGAGUCUCAGUGUGUAAUAUUUUUUGUAUCAGUGUAAGCUGGAUAAAGUAAACUGAGUUUGUCUCUGGCUAAGUUUUGUGCCAGCAGUCGCGGUUAUACUUGAAGGGAGAGUGAGCAAAGUUUGAUAUUUAACUUUUAUGUUGUUAAUAGUUUUUUUGAUCUUAUAGAGGGUGAAAUCAGUUUUUAAGAGAUGAAUAGAUUAAUAUAAUUUAAUUAAUGAGUUAAUAAGUAAAGGAAAUAAAUUAGGAUUAGAUACCCUAUUAUACCUUUAAUAAAAAGCUAAUAUCUGAUUAUUAACAGUUAUGUUCUUUAAAUUCAAAGAAUUUGGCGGUAUUUUAGUCUGAUUAGGGGAACCUGUCUUUUAAACGAUAAACCACGAAGAAUCUUACCUAUUUUUUUGUAGUUUGUAUACCGUCAUUGAGAUAACUUUUAUAGAAUAAGUUAUUGAAAUAAUUUCGUUAGAAUAUUAGAUCAAGGUGCAGCAUAUAUUUAGGUUAAGAUGGGUUACAAUAAAAUUUAUGUUAGAAUGGAUGUAUUUUGGAAACAAUAUUCUGAAGGAGGACUUAAAAGUAAGGCUAUUUUAAUAAGGUAGCUUGAUUUUAGCUCUAAAAUGUGCACAUAUCGCCCGUCGCUUUCGUUGAGUCAAGAUGAGAUAAGUCGUAACAUAGUAGGUGUACUGGAAAGUGCACCUGGAAAGCG